rnacentral:rRNA from 1 species
GACGAACGCUGGCGGCGUGCUUAACACAUGCAAGUCGAACGAGUGGCGAACGGGUGAGUAAUACGUGGGACCCUGCCUGAUGGAGGGGGAUAACUACUGGAAACGGUAGCUAAUACCGCAUACCAUCAGAUGUGCCCAGAUGGGAUUAGCUAGUAGGUGGGGUAAUGGCUCACCUAGGCGACGAUCCCUAGCUGGUCUGAGAGGAUGACCAGCCACACUGGAACUGAGACACGGUCCAGACUCCUACGGGAGGCAGCAGUGGGGAAUAUUGCACAAUGGGCGCAAGCCUGAUGCAGCCAUGCCGCGUGUGUGAAGAAGGCCUUCGGGUUGUAAAGCACUGUCAGCGAGGAGGCGUUACUCGCAGAAGAAGCACCGGCUAACUCCGUGCCAGCAGCCGCGGUAAUUC